GGCUUCGUGGUGCAGUGGUUAGCACACUCGGCUCGCAACCGAGAGCCUGGGUUCGAUUCCUGGGCGGAGUGG